rfam:Oryza barthii chromosome 3, whole genome shotgun sequence.
UUUAAGUGUAACCAUAAGUUUUCGCGCUCUACUUUAAUAGUUCGUUUUAUUUGAAAACUUUUUAUAAUUAGUAUUUUUGUUGUUAUGAGAUGAUAAAACAUGAAUAGUACUUUACUCGUGACUUAUGUUUUUAUUUUUUUAAAUUAGACGGACGGUUAAAGUUAGACGUGGAAAAUCAUGACUGUACUUAAA